GACGUAGGAGGCGAGCGUUGUCCGGAUUCAUUGGACGUAAAGAGCACGCAGGCGGUUUGGCAAGUCGGAUGUGAAAACCCGGAGCUCAACUCCGGACCUGCAUCCGAAACUGCCCGACUAGAGGUAGGUAGGGGAGAUCGGAAUUCCUGGUGUAGCGGUGAAAUGCGCAGAUAUCAGGAGGAACACCGGUGGCGAAGGCGGAUCUCUGGGCCUUACCUGACGCUCAGGUGCGAAAGCUAGGGGAGCGAACAGG
rnacentral:rRNA from 1 species